AGAUAUUGCUCUUCACUAUGAAAAAAACAGUACAAGUUACACAUGAGUUAAAUCGACAUAACCCAAUCCCAUAUCCCUUGUACACCCACUCACAGAAUUUUCCCAAGAGCCUCACUCUACCCCAAGAAUUCUUUCACAAGAGACCUUUCACUAUAGCUCUCUUGAUUUCUCUCUGCAACUCUCUCUCUCACCAUAAGGCAUAACAAAUGCCUUAAUAUAUAAUGUUCAACAUUUCUCAUGGGAGAGCCGAAUGCUCUCCCCUUGGAUGCUUCUUUAUGCUUUCUCAUCAUGAUGCUUCCUCAUCAUGAUGUUCCUUCAUUAUUUUCUUAUUUCUUGCUUUCGGCUUCUUUAACAAAUGCUGCCAAUUAAAACAAUAGGAAAACCACCCCGUGGCUUUCACAUGGACCAAAUAAUUAUGGCUUUGAAAAAGCCACAAAACAAGGAACAAUAAUUCUCAUCAUGAUGUUCCCUAGCCUAAUUUGGCCACUAUCCAACAAUAUAUUCAACCAUAGUACGGAAUCGCAACUGCUUUAAGAGGGUACUUGCUAUGUAUGGUUGAACCAGUAGAUUCAGUCAUGUCUACGUGCUCUUCUACUAUUGCACCUACAGGAAAUUCCCAGUCGAACUUGGGCACUAAAUUCGCCAAAGCAAUUUCUUUGAUAGCCAAGGCAUACUGAACUCCUGGGUAUCCACGUCUGCCAGCCCCAAAUGGAAUGAAUUGGAACUCAUUUGCUUUAUAAUCUAUGGCUUUAUCCAAGAACCUUUCUGGCUCAUAAUCAUCUGGUUUGUCGUACGAAUUGGGAUCUCUUCCAAUUUUUCAAGCAUUCACCAUAACUUGUGUGUUGGCCUUAAUGUCAUAGCCGUUUACUUUCGCAUCUUUAACAUCCUAGGCAACAGCAGCGGAACCGGAGGGUGUAGGCGAAGAGUCUCCUGGAUCACUGCUUUCAAAUUAUUUUCCUUACCUCGUUCUGCAAUUUUUUCAUGCCAUUGGAUUUCUUACAAGCUCAAACAUCGCCCACUCUAGGACUCUGGAUGUGAUAUCAGUGCCCGCAGCAAACAUGUCCUAUAAGAGUAUAUCAAUAAAAGUAAAUAAUUCCUCUAACAUAGCUAGCUAAUAUGACUAAUUACAUACUACUGCCUGUCAGGAUUUCAUGUGCCUACUCGAAAAAUGAAAAUAUAUGAUCAAAUCCAAUUACGAAUGUUUUUUGUUUGAUAGCACGAAUUAUUUAAUUCCAAUGUGACAUGACCGCAUAAAAAUUAAUUAUACAGCAACAUAAGGAUAAGACUGAGUAAGAGAGAGAAUGUUAAAUAUAAUACCAAGACAGUAGCCUUUAUGGUAACUCGAUCAAUCGAUAGACCUGCAGCCACGUUUUCUUUCUGAACUGAAAGCAAAACGUCCACAAUGUCCUUUUCAUCCUCGCUCUUGAUUUGAACAUCAUCCAUGUGCUCUUGCACAACUGUAUCUAAAAACUUGUCGAACCGUUUAUAGGAAUUCUAGUUCAGCGUCCAAACCAUUGAGACGUGUGAACCAAGCAAGCCAUUGAAUAUAGUCUCCAAUAUUCACACGUCUAAUUAACUCUGUCAGAUCCAUGGAAAUCUCUUUAAACAGCCACCCUGCUUCGUCAUCAUUGUUGUACUUCCUCCCCACAGCCACUCUACAAAUAACAUCUCGAAUAAGCGCCCCAAAUAGUUCAGUUAUGUUGAAGAGGAGGAGGAGGAGCCCUACGACUUAAAUACCACCACACUAUUUCUGGUGUUGCUGAUGUGGGAUCAUAACAUUACAACACCCUUCAGAAGACCCGACACUCACAGCGGCUCUUACUCUUGUGGCUUUCACUUUUAACGGCGGCGCACCCUUGGGUCAUCCGGUUAAGAUAGCAUUUUCCAGGUCGUCCGCUCGUCAGCGUCAGGAACCUAGUUUUGAUACCAAUAUUAGGUACUCAAGCCCAAGGAAGAGCCCAACCCAAAAGUUUCGCUCUUUUCGUAGGGUGAGAGAAUAGGAAACCAAAUCCAUGAUGAACGACAUACUUAAUCAGUGCUCCUCCUCCUCCUGCUCCUCAACAUCAGUCGUGGAUUUAACUGAACUAUUUGGGGCGCUUAUUCGAGAUGUUAUUUGUAGAGUGGCUAUGGGGAGGAAGUACAACGAUGAUGACGAAGCAGGGAGGCUGUUUAAAGAGAUUUCCAUGGAUCUCAGAGUUAAUUGUAUUACUUUUUUCUCCUCUUUUUAUUUAUUAUAUGUGAGAAGACUUCACAAGUGGCUUGUCAAAUAA